rnacentral:tRNA from 1 species
GCGUCGGUGGUUCAGUGGUAAAAUACUCGCCUGGCAUGCGGGUGUCCCGAGUUCGAUUACCGGCCGACGCA